CUAGCCAAGCGGCUGGGGUGUUGGGGACGCAAGCCCGCCGCCCCUCCAUAUUUCAACAGAUGGCGCCCAGACUUGUGGACAACUGAAUCCACAGAAAGCCUGAAAAAGCUUGGGAAAGAGUAAAGCAUGUUUUCUUGAUAGCAGCAAUUUCUUGGGUCUGCUCUGCUUGUUAGAAGCAAGCAAACACUCUCAUCUAAGAGAGGCUUCCUGACUCAGCUUCAGCUGCAAAACCCUGCAGCUCAUUAAGAGGUCCUGCCACGAACACUUAAAUGGUGUUGACAAAAAGCUGAACGCAUGCUUUUCGGUUUUCAGCUAUAGCAGGAAAAAAGCUGCGCCGUUUAAAAAUGCUGGCUUUUUGGGCCGUCCUGCCAGGGCAAACUCUGACUGAGGCAGGAGAGCCAACUACCGAGAGACGACUUGACUGUUGUCUGUUGUAGCUCGCUGGCUGGCAGGGACCUUGAAACGCCAUAGAAUUGUGUCUAUAAACAAGGCUACAGCCUGUAUCUCCGCCACGAGGCUGGAAAGCUAAGGAAUGGACUGGAUCUAGCUGGCAAAGCCACGGCUUUAAUCCUACUCAUAUUGCUCAGUAAUUUAAAGGCUCGUGUGGUCAGAAAAAGAGAGAUAUACAGUAAAGAGAUUCAAAGACAAAGAAAAUGUUUAAAUGAUUUACAGUGUGUUAAAAAUAUAUGCAAGCUAAAAGUUAAAAGUUCUUAAAAAAAAAGAAAGAAAAAGAGAAGUUGUGUGUGGUAGUACACGCCUUUAAUCCCAACACUUGGGAGGCAGAGGGAGAUUGACCUCUGUGACUUCAAGGUGUGGUAGCACACGCCUUUAAUCCCAGUGCCUAGAAGGCAGAGACAAACAGAUCUCUGUGAGUUCAAGGUGUAGUAGCAAACACCUUUAAUCCCAAUGCCUGGGAGGCAGAGACAGGCGGAUCUCUGAGAGUUCAAGGAGAGCCUGGUCUACAGAGUUAUUCCAGGUCAAAGAGAUACAGAGAAUAUAAAAGUAAAAAUAAACGAAAUAGAGGUUAAAAUAAAGCGUACAAAGAUGGAAAAUACACAGAGAAUCUUGAUACUGUAUACUAUUAUGCUCUCUUUGAAUUGUUUGAAUGCUGAGGAAGGAGCAACAGCUGCUAAAAGAUAUUUGUUUAUAAAUGCUGCUGAACUAAUCCAUCGUAGAGAUUUUGAUGCCUUGACUUUGAAAUUUGGAUCUAAGGACAUGAUACUUUGGAAAGGAGUUUCUUUUUUUGUUUUCACAGAGGAUGAGACCCUGUUCAUUUCUUCUAUUCCGAUAUGGUAUGAUGGACCACGCCCUCCUGAACGGUUGCUGUGAAUACCUUCAGAAAAUUGCUUCGCUCAACUGCCAACUGAGAUGAAACUAGCACACAGGUUAUACCAUGAAUGACCUGAUUAACGACGCCCCCAUUCAGCAGGAAGCAGUUUGGAGAGAAAUAACUGCGCCCAUAUUCCCAAAAAUUGUUUAUAAAUGUUCUUUUACAUUUAAAGGGGGAGAUGAUAUAGGUAUGAAUAAUUUACAUUGAUAUGGAUUUUGCUUUAGUGAUUUAAAUUUAAGGUUAAUUUUGUAAUGUAUAUAGGUUGUUAAUGGAUAAUCAUUAAUAAUAGUCAAGUUUGAAGUCAUGUUAGUUAAGGUUUUCUAGAUGUGCAUAGAUAUAUUUUAGAUAGGCAUUCUUCAUAUUUUUCAAAGAUUAUAGAAUAUGCUAUUAAAUGUUUUAAUAACUUAGUACUUUUCAUGACAAUGAGACACUCUGCUCUUGGCAUCACCAAUCUACUUCAAGAGGAAGAUGGGCAUCGAAGAGGAUCCUUAUGGAGUUUGAUAGCCAUUUGGGCAAGAAACUGCUCUUGCCUGGACUAUUGCAUAAACUGGACACAGAGAACCCGCAGAGAGAGGACUGCUGAACUUGCCUAAAGGUGAGAUGAUCUUUCCGGGUUCCUGAUUCAUGAAAGAGUCUGCAAGACAUUCUUCAGGACAAGCAGAUAGUGACUGUCUUUGAAAUUUCCUGCUCUGUGGAAAUGUCUGCUGGAAACUAUGGGACUGUAGGCUGAAGAUGGAUGCCCCAAUGGUACAGAGGAACUUUGGGUGACUGUCCAGUCAGCGAGAUGUCUCUGUCAUUUCUAGAGCUUUGGAUGUUAAGUUAAAGCCUUCCUUUUUUUUUGUUUAAACAGAAAAGGGGGAAGUGAUGUGGGAGUGUCAUAUAUCAAUCUGUUGAUUUCAUUGGCUGAGCAAUAAAGAAACUGCUUGGCCCUGAUAGGUUAAAGCAUUGGUGGGAGGAAUAAACAGAAUAGGAUCUGGGCGGAAGAGGAAGUGAGGUCAGACUCUGCUCUGCUUCCAGAGGGACCGAAUAGCUCUGCUCUCUGGAGCAGAGACACCAUGAUGGACGGAGGCUAGAAUCUUCCCAGUAAGCGCACCUUGGGGUGC